rnacentral:rRNA from 1 species
UUGGAGGGCAAGUCUGGUGCCAGCAGCCGCGGUAAUUCCAGCUCCAAUAGCGUAUAUUAAAGUUGUUGCAGUUAAAAAGCUCGUAGUUGAAUUUCGGGGUUAGUAGAUUGGUCAUGCCAUCGGUAUGCACUGGUCUCACUGAUUCCUCCUUCCUGAUGAGCCGUAAUGCCAUUAAUUUGGUGUUGCGGGGAAUUUGGACUGUUACUUUGAAAAAAUUAGAGUGUUUAAAGCAAGCUAACGCUUGAAUACAUUAGCAUGGAAUAAUGAAAUAGGACGUUCGAUCCUAUUUUGUUGGUUUCUAGGAUUGACGUAAUGAUUAAUAGGGAUAGUUGGGGGCAUUAGUAUUCAAUUGUCAGAGGUGAAAUUCUUGGAUUUAUUGAAGACUAACUACUGCGAAAGCAUUUGCCAAGGAUGUUUUCAUUAAUCAAGAACGAAAGUUAGGGGAUCGAAGACGAUCAGAUACCGUCGUAGUCUUAACCAUAAACUAUGCCGACUAGGGAUCGGAUGAUGUUAAUUUUUUAAUGACUCAUUCGGCGCC